CAGCCGCCGCGGUAAUACGGAGGGUGCAAGCGUUAUCCGGAUUUAUUGGGUUUAAAGGGUCCGUAGGCGGACUUAUAAGUCAGUGGUGAAAGCCUGUCGCUUAACGAUAGAACUGCCAUUGAUACUGUAAGUCUUGAGUAUAUUUGAGGUAGCUGGAAUAAGUAGUGUAGCGGUGAAAUGCAUAGAUAUUACUUAGAACACCAAUUGCGAAGGCAGGUUACCAAGAUAUAACUGACGCUGAGGGACGAAAGCGUGGGUAGCGAACAGGAUUAGAUACCCGUGUAGUCUCUGUCUCUUAUAC
rnacentral:rRNA from 1 species